rnacentral:rRNA from 1 species
GACGAACGCUGGCGGCGUGCUUAACACAUGCAAGUCGAGCGGUAAGGCUCCUUCGGGAGUACACGAGCGGCGAACGGGUGAGUAACACGUGAGCAACCUGCCCUUCUCAUCGGAAUAAGCGUUGGAAACGACGUCUAAUGCCGAAUAUGACAACGGAUCGCAUGAUCUGUUGUGGAAAGCUCCGGCGGAGAAGGAUGGGCUCGCGGCCUAUCAGCUUGUUGGUGGGGUAACGGCCCACCAAGGCGACGACGGGUAGCCGGCCUGAGAGGGUGACCGGCCACACUGGGACUGAGACACGGCCCAGACUCCUACGGGAGGCAGCAGUGGGGAAUAUUGGACAAUGGGCGCAAGCCUGAUCCAGCAACGCCGCGUGAGGGAUGACGGCCUUCGGGUUGUAAACCUCUUUCAGUAGGGAAGAAGCCGCAAGGUGACGGUACCUGCAGAAGAAGCGCCGGCUAACUACGUGCCAGCAGCCGCAGUAAAAC